rnacentral:tRNA from 1 species
GGCCCCGUCGUCCAGUGGCCUAGGACGCCGGCCUUUCACGCCGGUAACGCCAGUUCGAAUCUGGUCGGGGCUA